rnacentral:rRNA from 1 species
UACGUAGGGGGCUAGCGUUAUCCGGAAUUACUGGGCGUAAAGGGUGCGUAGGCGGUCUUUCAAGCCAGAAGUGAAAGGCUACGGCUCAACCGUAGUAAGCUUUUGGAACUGUAAGACUUGAGUGCAGGAGAGGAGAGUGGAAUUCCUAGUGUAGCGGUGAAAUGCGUAGAUAUUAGGAAGAACACCAGUGGCGAAGGUCGAUUCUCUGGACUGUAACUGACGCUGAGGCUCGAAAGCGUGGGGAGCAAACAGGAUUAGAUACCCCCGUAGUCCCUGAG